rnacentral:rRNA from 1 species
AGUGAACGCUGGCGGUAGGCCUAACACAUGCAAGUCGAACGGCAGCACAGUAAGAGCUUGCUCUUACGGGUGGCGAGUGGCGGACGGGUGAGGAAUACAUCGGAAUCUACUUUUUCGUGGGGGAUAACGUAGGGAAACUUACGCUAAUACCGCAUACGACCUACGGGUGAAAGCAGGGGAUCUUCGGACCUUGCGCGAUUGAAUGAGCCGAUGUCGGAUUAGCUAGUUGGCGGGGGAAAGGCCCACCAAGGCGACGAUCCGUAGCUGGUCUGAGAGGAUGAUCAGCCACACUGGAACUGAGACACGGUCCAGACUCCUACGGGAGGCAGCAGUGGGGAAUAUUGGACAAUGGGCGCAAGCCUGCUCCAGCCAUACCGCGUGGGUGAAGAAGGCCUUAGGGUUGUAAAGCCCUUUUGUUGGGAAAGAAAAGCAGCAGGUUAAUACCCCGCUGUUCUGACGGUACCCAAAGAAUAAGCACCGGCUAACUUCGUG